rnacentral:rRNA from 1 species
UACGGAGGGUACGAACGUUAAUCGGAAUUACUGGGCGUAAAGCGCGCGUAGGCGGUUUGAUAAGUGGGAUGUGAAAGCCCCGGGCUUAACCUGGGAACUGCAUUCCAAACUGUCAGACUAGAGUAUGGUAGAGGAGGGUAGAAUUUCCUGUGUAGCGGUGAAAUGCGUAGAUAUAGGAAGGAACACCAGUGGCGAAGGCGGCACUCUGGACCAAUACUGACACUGAGGUGCGAAAGCGUGGGGAGCAAACAGGAUUAGAUACCCCCGUAGUCC